AUUCCCUCAGUAACGGCGAGUGAAGCGGGAAGAGCUCAAGCUUAAAAUCUCCACGCAAGUGGCGAAUUGUAGUCUAUUGAGGCUGUUGUCAGCACAGCGACCUGGGACAAGUCCCUUGGAAGAGGGCAGCAUGGAGGGUGAUACUCCCGUCUCUGCUCAGGUUGUCUGUGUGUACGAUACGCUUUCUUUGAGUCGAGUUGUUUGGGAAUACAGCUCAAAGUAGGUGGUAAAUUCCAUCUAAAGCUAAAUAUUGGUGCGAGACCGAUAGCGAACAAGUACCGUGAGGGAAAGAUGAAAAGAACUUUGAAAAGAGAGUUAAAGAGUACCUGAAACUGUUGAAAGGGAACCGUAUCGUUUCUAGUGUUUAUCCUGUGCAUAUUUCAUUGGCGGUUGCAAAAUUGCUGGUGCCCUGUGCAUGGGUGUGACGUCAGAGUCAGUUUAAAUUGCGGGAGAUGGGUGGGGAGGAGGUGCGUCACUUCGGUGAAAGUUACAGCUCUCUGCUUAGUAGCCGUGGUUAAGACUGAGGUGCCUACAACAUGCUUUGUGGUCUGCUGCUGUCUCGUUUUAGUGAUUAUCUGGAUAGCUUGCUAUGCUGGUGAUUAGUGAGGCGAUUGAUGGUGGUAGUAACUACUGC
rnacentral:rRNA from 1 species